UUCCACAGCAUGUUGCCAUCAAAAGGACUUAGUAAGGAAUCUCAAAUGUGCUUUCCAGUACGAGAAAAAGAAAGAAGAAGUAAGCAAAAGAGGCCACACAAAAGAAUUUGUAGAUUUCAUUGAUACAGACUAUGGAAGAUAAUAUACGAAGAGCUCUAGUAUGUAUGCUUAUCUCAUUAUCUCCAUUUUCAGCUGUAGCCACUGUUCUGACCAGUAAGGAAAGAGCAAUUCCUGUAGAGCUAAAUAAACACCAGACGUGUUUAGUAUAAAUCCAUCAAGAGCGAUCUGGAUCACUCCUGCCCCGCCACUUGCAUGGCAAAGAGGAAAGGCAGAAGGUGAGCAG